UACGUAGGUGGCAAGCGUUGUUCGGAAUUAUUGGGCGUAAAGGGCGCGUAGGCGGUUGGUUAAGUCAGCUGUGAAAGCCCGGGGCUCAACCCCGGAGGGUCGGCUGAUACUGAUUGACUAGAGUACGGAAGAGGUAGCUGGAAUUCUCGGUGUAGCGGUGAAAUGCGUAGAUAUCGAGAGGAACACCUGCGGCGAAGGCGGGUUGCUGGGCUGAUACUGACGCUGAGGCGCGAAAGCCAGGGGAGCGAACGGG
rnacentral:rRNA from 1 species